rnacentral:rRNA from 1 species
UACAUAGGGAGCGAGCGUUAUCCGGAAUUAUUGGGUGUAAAGGGUGCGUAGAUGGGAAUUUAAGUUGGUUGUGAAAUCCCUUGGCUCAACUGAGGAACUGCAACCAAAACUGGAUUUCUUGAGUGUUGGAGAGGAAAGUGGAAUUCCUAGUGUAGCGGUGAAAUGCGUAGAUAUUAGGAGGAACACCAGUGGCGAAGGCGACUUUCUGGACAAUAACUGACAUUGAGGCACGAAAGUGUGGGGAGCAAAC